GAGGUCAUCUGCAAUGGCGCUGGUGCUGUGGCUGUAUCAGCAUGGCUCUGGGUGAUUCUUCGGGGCAGGCAAUAGUUCAGGGAGGACUUACAAGCAAGCUCUGUCUCUGCAGAACUCUGAGGCUCCCUACCUAUAGGGAGACAGUCUGCCUGCCGGUCACCUCCUACUCAUCACUGGAAUCACAGACAGAACAAGUGGUGGCAACACUGGCCUGAAGAUUCCUGACAACGUAGGUCUGGCCGGGAUUGGAAGCGUCACCCAGCCUCAGGACGGGGACCCGCCGCCAAGCGCCGCCUCCGCGGGAUGGUCCUCGGCAGCCGCCGUAGCGCAGAGACGAAUCCGCGCGCCCCCAGGCUGCCGGGAGCUACCAGGAGGCUUCCACCUGAGCGGCGCGUCCUCAGGGCUUGGGCCUGGCCUCCUCGCCUGUGAGGUGGCGCUGUGGCAGUGCCCACCUCGUGGGCUGUGUGAGGGCCGAGUGAAAUCGUGCAUAUGCGGUAAGAAAGUGCUUUUCACGGUGCCCUGUCCUAAUAUGGGCUGCCAGCCUAAGUACAGAGGCACAGUCCCAGCCCAAAGGCCAGUUUCCAGGUGAGCCCCUGUCGGGGAGACCACCAGACGGAACAGUGCCAGUCUACACUCCUGCACCGAGCAGGGGACAGUGUGGACGGCAGAGAGGUCUGAAGUCCCUUUAGAAUAAGGAUAAUGCUUCAGGGUUGUUAAAAGUAUUAAAUGAGAUGAUAUCUAAAGGGAUUAGCACAGUGGCUGAUGCUAAAAUAAAUCAUUUUCCCUACUGCCACUGCCCUUAAAACCAGACGCCUGCAACAGCCGGCCGGUACGUCUCCUCAUUUGUAAACUGGAGUUAGCAGGUGUGUUGUGAAGAUUGAGAAAAUUACGCAUAGGCAGAACCUGGCGUUUAAUAUUUGGGAAAUGGCAGCAAUUCUUUCUUCACUAGAUAAUCUACAGGCUGCACUGUGGUAGGCACAUAUGCUUAGCACCGAUUCUUAUAAGUGCAGGUAAAGAGAGAGAGAAGACUUGUGUAAGUCGAAGGAGCCAGCCGUGUCCAGGCCGCAGCAAAACCUCAGCAGUACUGUACCAGGGCCCUCUUCAGUGAAUGAAUCUCCUCUUUGGCCUGUUUGCUGUCUGUUUGCAUUUGCUGCACCCAUCAGUUCCCAGACCUGGCCUUUAAAGCCAGGAGCUCUAGGAUGCUUGUCCCAAUCCUAGAAAACAAGUACAGCACACACCAACAGCAGCACCCCUAAAAGCCAGCCCUACUGGCAGUGCAGGCCCUGCAACCCGUAGGUAAGUGGGACACUCUAAGCUUCUUGGAGACAGCUAACUCAGGGCCUGAUUAGCUUACUCUCACCUCCUCUCUUCAGGAAAUCAGACUGUGUAAAGUAAGAGAGAAAAGAAAAUUAGCAUAAGUCUAUUCCAUUGUUUAAUGACAUGUGUUUCACUUGUGUUAAAAGUGAAUUGUGGGCUGGCGUGGUGGCUCAUUUGCCUGUAAUCCCAACACUUUAGGAGGCCACGGCAGGCAGAUUGCUUGAGCCCAGAAGUUUGAAACCAGCCUGGCAACAUGGAAAAACCCCAUCUCUACAAAAAAUACAAAAAUUAGCAGGAUAUGGUAGCUCAUGCCUGUAGUCCCAGUUACUCUGGAGGCUGAGGUGGGAGGAUGGCUUGAACCUGUCAGGUCGAGGCUGCCGUGAGCUGUAAUCACGCCAGUGCACUCCAGCCUGGGUGACAGAAUCAGUUCUUGUCUAAAAAAAAAAAAAAAAAAAAAAA
rnacentral:lncRNA from 1 species